rnacentral:tRNA from 1 species
GGGGGUAUAGCUCAGUGUUAAAGCAUUCGACUGCAGAUCGAGAGGUCCCCGUUCAUACCCGGGUGUCCUCU